CGUGGGUAACCUGCCCAAGAGAUCGGGAUAANACCUGGAAACAGAUGCUAAUACCGGAUAACAACAGAUGAUGCCUAUCAACUGUUUAAAAGAUGGUUCUGCUAUCACUCUUGGAUGGACCUGCGGUGCAUUAGCUAGUUGGUAGGGUAACGGCCUACCAAGGCGAUGAUGCAUAGCCGAGUUGAGAGACUGAUCGGCCACAUUGGGACUGAGACACGGCCCAAACUCCUACGGGAGGCAGCAGGG
rnacentral:rRNA from 1 species